AGAACGAACGCUGGCGGCAGGCCUCAAACAUGCAAGUCUAGGGGGUGUAGCAAUACAUCACCGGCGGACGGGUGCGUAACGCGUGGGAAUGUACCUAUUGGUUCGGAACAACUGAGGGAAACUUCAGCUAAUACCGGAUGAGCCCGAAAGGGGAAAGAUUUCUCGCCAAUAGAUCAGCCCGCGUCCGAUUAGCUAGUUGGUGGGGUUAAAGCCUACCAAGGCGACGAUCGGUAGCUGUUCUGAGAGGAAGAUCAGCCACACUGGGACUGAGACACGGCCCAGACUCCUACGGGAGGCAGCAGUUGGGAAUCUUGGACAAUGGGGAAACCCUGAUCCAGCCAUGCCGCGUGAGUGAUGAAGGCCUUCGGGUUGUAAAACUCUUUCGGACGGGACGAUAAUGACGGUACCGUAGAAGAAGCUCCGGCUAACUCGUGCCAGCAGCCGC
rnacentral:rRNA from 1 species